AGAGUUUUAUCCUGGCUCAGGAUGAACGCUAGCUACAGGCUUAACACAUGCAAGUCGAGGGGCAGCAUGGUCUUAGCUUGCUAAGGCCGAUGGCGACCGGCGCACGGGUGAGUAACACGUAUCCAACCUGCCGUCUACUCUUGGACAGCCUUCUGAAAGGAAGAUUAAUACAAGAUGGCAUCAUGAGUCCGCAUGUUCACAUGAUUAAAGGUAUUCCGGUAGACGAUGGGGAUGCGUUCCAUUAGGCAGUUGGCGGGGUAACGGCCCACCAAACCAACGAUGGAUAGGGGUUCUGAGAGGAAGGUCCCCCACAUUGGAACUGAGACACGGUCCAAACUCCUACGGGAGGCAGCAGUGAGGAAUAUUGGUCAAUGGACGAGAGUCUGAACCAGCCAAGUAGCGUGAAGGAUGACUGCCCUAUGGGUUGUAAACUUCUUUUAUACGGGAAUAAAGUUAGCCACGUGUGGCUUUUUGUAUGUACCGUAUGAAUAAGGAUCGGCUAACUCCGUGCCAGCAGCCGCGGUAAUACGGAGGAUCCGAGCGUUAUCCGGAUUUAUUGGGUUUAAAGGGAGCGUAGGCGGGUUGUUAAGUCAGUUGUGAAAGUUUGCGGCUCAACCGUAAAAUUGCAGUUGAUACUGGCGACCUUGAGUGCAACAGAGGUAGGCGGAAAUUCGUGGUGUAGCGGUGAAAUGCUUAGAUAUCACGAAGAACUCCGAUUGCGAAGGCAGCUUACUGGAUUGUAACUGACGCUGAUGCUCGAAAGUGUGGGUAUCAAACAGGAUUAGAUACCCUGGUAGUCCACACAGUAAACGAUGAAUACUCGCUGUUGGCGAUAUACAGUCAGCGGCCAAGCGAAAGCAUUAAGUAUUCCACCUGGGGAGUACGCCGGCAACGGUGAAACUCAAAGGAAUUGACGGGGGCCCGCACAAGCGGAGGAACAUGUGGUUUAAUUCGAUGAUACGCGAGGAACCUUACCCGGGCUUAAAUUGCAACUGACUGAACCGGAAACGGUUCUUUCUUCGGACAGUUGUGAAGGUGCUGCAUGGUUGUCGUCAGCUCGUGCCGUGAGGUGUCGGCUUAAGUGCCAUAACGAGCGCAACCCUUAUCGAUAGUUACUAGCAGGUCAUGCUGAGGACUCUAUUGAGACUGCCGUCGUAAGAUGUGAGGAAGGUGGGGAUGACGUCAAAUCAGCACGGCCCUUACGUCCGGGGCUACACACGUGUUACAAUGGGGGGUACAGAAGGCAGCUACACGGCGACGUGGUGCUAAUCCCGAAAGCCUCUCUCAGUUCGGAUUGGAGUCUGCAACCCGACUCCAUGAAGCUGGAUUCGCUAGUAAUCGCGCAUCAGCCACGGCGCGGUGAAUACGUUCCCGGGCCUUGCACACACCGCCCGUCA
rnacentral:rRNA from 1 species